rnacentral:rRNA from 1 species
UACAGAGGUCCCAAGCGUUGUUCGGAUUCACUGGGCGUAAAGGGUGCGUAGGUGGUCGGAUAAGUUUGAUGUGAAAUCUCCGGGCUUAACCCGGAAACUGCAUUGAAUACUAUCUGGCUAGAGGGUUGGAGGGGGGACUGGAAUACUUGGUGUAGCAGUGAAAUGCGUAGAUAUCAAGUGGAACACCAGUGGCGAAGGCGAGUCCCUGGACAACUCCUGACACUGAGGCACGAAAGCUAGGGGAGCAAACAGG